rnacentral:rRNA from 1 species
GACGAACCGAGCGAACGUUGUUCGGAAUCACUGGGCUUAAAGGGCGCGUAGGCGGGUGCUCAAGUCUGUGGUGAAAUCCUCCGGCUCAACCGGAGAACUGCCAUGGAUACUGGGCGUCUCGAGUGUGGUAGGGGUAUGCGGAACUAUCGGUGGAGCGGUGAAAUGCGUUGAUAUCGAUAGGAACUCCGGUGGCGAAGGCGGCAUACUGGACCACCACUGACGCUGAGGUGCGAAAGCGUGGGGAGCAAACAGG